rnacentral:ncRNA from 1 species
AAUGAUAGAGGCGCGGGAUUCAUCAGUAGACCGGAAAAGAAGGCAUGGCAGCCAUCCGGAGGAAAGGGGAGACCGCCGAAGGAAUCUGACAGGCCAGGAGGCGGAUUCCUGGGACGUCACAGAAUAUGUGCCGCACUGUCACCUGGGUGAAGCGCUAUCGA